UGGGGAAUAUUGCACAAUGGGCGCAAGCCUGAUGCAGCAACGCCGCGUGAGGGACGACGGCCUUCGGGUUGUAAACCUCUUUUAGUAGGGAAGAAGCGAAAGUGACGGUACCUGCAGAAAAAGCACCGGCUAACUACGUGCCAGCAGCCGCGGUAAUACGUAGGGUGCGAGCGUUGUCCGGAAUUAUUGGGCGUAAAGAGCUCGUAGGCGGUCUGUCGCGUCUGCUGUGAAAACCCGAGGCUCAACCUCGGGCCUGCAGUGGGUACGGGCAGACUAGAGUGCGGUAGGGGGAGAAUGGAAUUCCUGGUGUAGCGGUGGAAUGCGCAGAUAUCAGGAGGAACACCGAUGGCGAAGGCAGUUCUCUGGGCCCGUAACUGACGCUGAGGAGCGAAAGCGUGGGGAGCGAACAGGAUUAGAUACCCUGGUAGUCCACGCCGUAAACGUUGGGCGCUAGAUGUGGGGACCAUUCCACGGUUUCCGUGUCGCAGCUAACGCA
rnacentral:rRNA from 1 species